AACGAACGCUGGCGGCAGGCCUAACACAUGCAAGUCGAACGCUCCGCAAGGGGAGUGGCAGACGGGUGAGUAACACGUGGGAACCUUCCCAUCGCUACGGAAUAGCUCAGGGAAACUUGGGGUAAUACCGUAUACGCCUGAAAGGGGAAAGAUUUAUCGGCGAUGGAUGGGCCCGCGGCUGAUUAGCUAGUUGGUGAGGUAACGGCUCACCAAGGCGACGAUCAGUAGCUGGUCUGAGAGGACGGCCAGCCACACUGGGACUGAGACACGGCCCAGACUCCUACGGGAGGCAGCAGUGGGGAAUAUUGGACAAUGGGCGCAAGCCUGAUCCAGCCAUGCCGCGUGAGUGACGAAGGUCUUCGGAUUGUAAAGCUCUUUUGGCGGGGACGAUAAUGACGGUACCCGCAGAAUAAGCCCCGGCUAACUUCGUGCCAGCAGCCGCGGU
rnacentral:rRNA from 1 species